rnacentral:rRNA from 1 species
UAAGCGGAGGAAAAGAAACCAACAGGGAUUGCCUCAGUAACGGCGAGUGAAGCGGCAAAAGCUCAAAUUUUAAAGCUGGCACCUCCGGUGUCCGCGUUGUAAUUUUGUGAGGCAUCUCCGGGUGGGGCGCCGGCCUAAGUUCCUUGGAACAGGACGUCAUAGAGGGUGAGAAUCCCGUGCUUGGCUGGCUGUCCCCGUCCAUGUGAGGUGUCUUCGACGAGUCGAGUUGUUUGGGAAUGCAGCUCAAAAUGGGUGGUAAAUUUCAUCUAAAGCUAAAUAUUGGUGGGAGACCGAUAGCGCACAAGUAGAGUGAUCGAAAGAUGAAAAGCACUUUGAAAAUAGAGUUAAAAAGUACGUGAAAUUGUUGAAAGGGAAGCGCUUGAGACCAGACUUCGGUGGGGAGUGAUCAGCCGUCCUUCUGGGCGGUGCACUUGCCCCCCUCCGGGCCAGCAUCGGUUGGGACGGCGGGAUAAAGGUCCCGGGAAUGUGGCUCCUCUCGGGGAGUGUUAUAGCCCGGGUGAAUGCCGCCAGCCCCGACCGAGGACCGCGCCUUCGGGCUAGGAUGCUUGGCAUAAUGGUCUUCAGCGACCCGUCUUGA